UACGGAGGAUGCGAGCGUUAUCCCGAUUUAUUGGGUUUAAAGGGUGCGCAGGCGGCACGGCAAGCCGGCGGUCAAAUCGCGGGGCUCAACCCCGCCCAGCCGUCGGAACUGCCGGGCUAGAGUGGGCGAGAAGUGCGCGGAAUGCGUGGUGUAGCGGUGAAAUGCAUAGAUAUCACGCAGAACUCCGAUUGCGAAGGCAGCGCACCGGCGCCCUACUGACGCUCAGGCACGAAAGCGUGGGUAUCGAACAGG
rnacentral:rRNA from 1 species